GUUUUUCUGGAACUUGUUUUUCCGAACUUCAACCGGAAUACUUUCUUUGUAUAACGCACUGAAAACAAUAAAUUUUGAGAAACCUGAACUGAAUACUGAAUCAAUGCUAUUAACGGUUAAUGCCGUCCUGAUUAUAUUUUACCUUUUCGCGCCAAUUUAUUCAGCUAAUAAAUUAUCGUCACAAGUAAAUAAGUUGAAGAUCUAUUUGUUGAAUAGACUUAUGCAAGACAGAGACAAGAAUCACUUCGCUGCUCUGGAGAAGUUUGUCUGCUACAUCGACGCUCGGCCCUUUAAAUAUACCAUAGCUGACGUCAUACCCUUAGACUGGACACUAGUGUCUACUGUCCUAAAUGUAUUAAUUACUUACAUUAUUGUUUUCUUGCAAUUAUCUAGGAAGAGUUAAUACAUUCAAUAACAGGUUUAUUAAGUGUAGGUUUCAUGGUAUGAUUGUAAUUGUAUUUGUUUACUUGUUACGUUUAAACUCACUUUCCAUAAACGUCAUCUUGCCGGGUUAACAACGCUAACCCGGUUUUUGUAUGUUUCGGUCGUCACUAUCGCGACACAUUGCAAUAUUUGACAUUGACAGAACGAAACAUAUACAAUCUAGGUACCUACUAUCUGUAUGUCUUAUAUUUUAGGUUACACACUGAACAGUAUUUCAAUAUUAUUGAUAUUAUAACAUAUUAUAUUCCGUGUCAAUCUCAACGUUGACGUUGGCAAAAUCAUCGUUUUGGCGAACGGUGGAGCCAUGAAACUUAAAAAAAAAGGUUCAAUCAAUGCCUAAACAAAAUCAAAUUUAUUGACAUUCUUAUUAUAAUUACGAACGAUGAAAAGCCAUAACACAAGAAAAAUACCUAUAUAGGUGCUUUUUCACGGUUUGAUUGUAAUGUGUCGUGUUUUUUGUGUGUGAUUAAAAAACUUAAGUUAAAAAUAUCUUAGUUUUUUUUUACCGUUGCAAGCGUGUUGUUUCCUCCCUAGAACCUCCCGUAAAUAUGUUGCGAAAUUAUUAAUCGAACAGUGACAGGCAACAUUAAACCCCUUCCAUAAGACCCAAUUUGAUUAAAUUGGCAAUCAAAUUGGGUCGUGUGGACGGAAUAUGAAAUUCCGAUUCAAGAUUCGGGGUUGGACCCGCAACAAUACAGUACCAUUCGAAGACUGACGUCAUUCCUGGCCGGCCGACCACCCUAUGCAUGCAGCCUUCGUCCACAUCAACGGGAAGUACCUGCCUACCUACCAAAGCGAAAAUUGUGACGGCCUUACAACUCACGACCCAUGUUGUAUUUUUUUGCAUAAAAUUAACUGUUAGUUGAA